rnacentral:lncRNA from 1 species
CGAAGGGACAAACGGACGCACGCACGCACAGACCAGAAAACUUAAUGCCCAAAAAUGGAGCAGAAAACAAAAUGCAAGAACCACUCAUGUUGGUAUACUAAAGAAGGUUAAUUUGAAGCAUGCUUUUGUACAUUUUGAAAGAGAAAAGAUAACACCAAAUAUUGUGGGUAUGCUUUCGAGACAUGAAUUAGAAGCUCUAGGAGUUUCAAAUACAGCAGACAUGAUGUAGCGUCAAAUUGAGUGUAUUAAAUAUUGGACUAUUAAACCACAGAAAAUUCAAGGAAGUUACGAACCUCCUAAAUUUGACAAAGACAAAUCAACACUUGAAAAUUUACUUGAUAAUGGAUUUUGAUCUAGGAUGUUGCAAAGCUUUUGCUCGUAACUGAAUAUAUCGAAGAAUGGCACCGUUUGAUUUGAGUAAACGUACAUUUUCAGAACUUAAUGAUGAUGACCUCAGUGAUGUUGUAUUGGGAGAAACUAUCCAAGAGUUUCCUCUGAGUAGUUAAAAUAUGUUUCAACAUAUGUCAAUUGCCAAAGGCAUUAGAGAACAAAGAUGGCGCCUAAGAGACUCUAUCAACGUUAAGAUUCAUCUGGAG